GUCAGUGGAUAGGUCAGUUGGUUAGAGCAUAGUGCUGAUAAUGCCAAGGUUGCAGGUUCAAUCCCCAUACGGGACA